GUGUGUGAGUGUGUGGGUGUGUGAGUGGGUAUGUGAGUGUGUGAGUGGGUGUGUGAGUGGGUGUGUGUGAGUGUGUGGGUGUGAGGGUGUGUGAGUGGGUAUGUGAGUGUGUGAGUGUGUGUGUGAGUGGGUGUGUGUGUGUGAGUGUGUGGGUGUGUGAGCUGGUGUGUGAGUGUGGGUGGUCAGCAGCAGGCUGCUGAGCCUGCCCCUCUCUGCUGAGGCUGUGCAGGCCAGGCUUGAAACCCUGUGGGCUAGAAGGGGUAGGAGCAACCUUGGAGGCAGCAGCAGACAGGAGCUGGGAUCUGACGAAUGGUCGCAAGGUUGGGACUUCUGGCAGGCUAAAGAAAACAUCUUGACCGAAGUUACAUUUCAGCUCCCAAGCCCUAAGGUAGAAUGACUCUUGGGCUACUGUGGGGGUUAAAAAAAAUUAAUACUUUUCCUCCCACCUAUGUCUGUAUCUCAGGUAGGAAAACCGGAGGGUCAGUCUUUUGUUUCUUAAUAAACAGCUGAACAUCAAUACAGUGGGGCCUUGACUUACGAGUUUAAUUCGUUCCGUGACGGAGCUCGUAACUCAGAUUACGCGUAUGUCAAAUCAAAAGUGAACGAGCGAGACACGUGAUGCUGGGCUGAUGUUGUGGCGUUCACUGUGACGUUCGCUGCGCCCACUAGCGGUGGGGUAUCUGAAGCUGGCUCGUAACCCGAAUUUUAGCUCACAACUCAAAGCAAAAAAUCGGCCGAGAGACGGCUCGUAUCUCGAAAAACUCGUUAGUCGGGACACUCGUUAGUCAAGGCCCCACUGUAUCCCCAAAAUGCUGCUUAAGGAUGGCAACACUUUUGGUCCCUUCAGUUCCGCCUUUGAAACUUUAAACGAGUUUCCCCAUUCAGGAGCUAAAUUGGUAGGUGGCUCCAUAGUUCAUCGAUCCAAUAACUCAGUCCUUAGAAUAAGUUAGUUCAGUUCAGUUGCUGAGUGUGAAUUCAGGAGGCGGUGAUGCAGCUGGCCUCUGAAGUGAGGUCUGUGGUCUGUGUCCUGUCAGCAAGCAAGGAGGUAUUGAAUAAGGGGCGUGUCUAUUCAAACAAAAGAAAGAAACACACACAGAUCAAUCACCUGAAAACCAGUUUCUGAGCCUGUCAGACUCAGUGGAGAAGCUUUCUAAACACCUGGCUCAGAGCUUCUUUUUCUGGAAUGAAGGCAGCAGCGACAGUUGGAUAGCUUGUCCUGCUCCGCAGUUGGAAUGUCGCUGACGAUCUCACGGGUUCGCAGGUAGAUUAUCUGUGCGGCUUCGCGGAGUUAGUCACUGAGAUGGUUGAGCCAUGAGCUAUUGUGGUGAUGUCUCUGAAGUUGACGUCAUGUCUUCUCAGAAAAACCCCAAACAGUUUUAGCUCUCACUAAUUCCAAGUCAAAGACUGGGAGGAAAAAAACACAUUCGUUCAGAGGGUGGUAGCUACAUAUUUAAGAAAACUAGAAAGGUUCAGGAUCCAGUUUAUAGGUGAAAAAAUAAAACUUUAAUGACAGUCGACUGAACUAGAAUCUAACAUCCACGACUGUGAAUUAUACUGAAACACAAUUUCUCUCCCUAAAAUCAUCCUCAAUUUUAUCGAAGAUAGACAAAGUGAGACUAAUUUAUUGCAUAAGUCUAGUUUCAAUAAAUUUGGCCUGAUUAUUUGCAUAAACACAACAAGAAAAAAACCCCACAAUUGAUCAUAUAGGCUCUUUUUAAAUCUGCUUUUCUGGAAUUUCAUACAGCAUCUCCAGAUUGAACUUUGGCCUCUCAAGGCUAAGAAGCCAAGCACAUAUUGGCCACCGAUCUUAGCCUGCGACACCUAUAGAUUUGGGUAAAUUCCCAGGUUCCAUGUCUCCCAAAUGUUUUGAGGCCCUUUCUUUGCCAUCUCCCAGGAAAGCAACCUCUGCUACUCUCCUGGAAAGACUGCUGUCAACCAUGCAAGCUAGGUAGCAGGCUGUUUUCCCAAGAGGCUUUUAUUGGCUUCCAAAGUUAACCUUAAUUCUUUAAAGUUUCUGGUGACGUCUGAGUCUACACAUCUCUGUCAAGCAUGACAUUCCAGUCAAAGUCUUGGUUAAUGAAACCAGUUAUCAAUUGUGUCCCAUUAUAAAAGAACAGGUUCUUAUUGAAUUUAUGCAAACAAACAUAUGUCAUGAAAAUAAUAAUAUUCAUUUCCACGUUCAGGAGGGAAAAAAUAAAACUGUCUCAAUGCUGCUUACAACGGGAUAAUUUACCUAAUCGCUCUAAGAAAAACAAUCUCCCUUAUAUCUGGAAAACAAAAGAUUUUUAUUUAUUUAUUUUAAAAUAUAUUUUUAUUUAUUUCAGAGAGAAGAAGGGAGAAGGAGAGAGAAACAUCAAUGAUGAGAGAAUCAUUGAUCAGCUGCCUCCUGCACGCCCCUUACUGGGGAUGGAACCCGCAACCUGGGCAUGUGCCCUGACUGAGAAUCUAACCACGACCUCCUGGUUCAUGGGUUGACACUCAACCACUGAGCCACACCAGCCGGAUGCCACACCCAUUCUACAAAGGCUGGAAGCCCGAAUCUGACACUCCUGGCUGUGGACUCUGGCAAGUCACUACCCCCCUCGGAGCCUCUGUUUCCUCAUCUGUAAAAUGGGGAUAAGGAUACCCUUUCCACUGGGCUGCUGUGAGGACCCAAUGGGAUUUGAAAAGCCUUGGUAAAAGGUCCUAUACUACAGCCAGCUGUUCUGAUGGUUAUGGUCUUGGGGUGGGGAGCUGGGACUCUAAGCUCCUCUGAAGUUUAGGGAACUCACAAUCCCUUGAUCUUUCCGGGGGCGGGGGGCCGGGGGGAACCACUGGUUCUAGUCUGUUUCCUAAUACAAAGUUCCUUUCCAGAGGCCCCUAUCAGGCCGGAAAAACAGACAUUCUGGCUGGGGCUUAGUGUACAUAGCAACUAUCUGGCCCAUCUCCUCUUCCCCCACCAGGAGCAGGCCUCUUCCUCAAGGCCAAAUAAAGAGAGUGACUCAUGUCAGACCAGACCCGGUGGCUACAGGCUACAACCUUUGUGAAGGUCCGGCCACACCCUGCUUUCAUGACUCUGUUCGCCUCUUCUCCAUUGGGGACCUACCCACUUGCAGGCCUGCUUCACUAGUUUAAACAGCCUGAGGCCGGUCUUCCUAGUGGCUGGGGCUGCUCCUGGGGGCAGGGGGUGGGGUGAUAGGUGUGUGCGUGUGGGGUAACCUGUCCCUGUUCCUGGGUACGCUGGUGGAUAGAAGACAGUUUAUUGGGGACAUGGUCUCAGUGUCUGGGGACAAGUCUUCAUUUAGCCACAGGUGACCCAGAUGAUAAUGUGCAGAUCGGAGGGCUGAUAUUUCAUGGGGGAAACUGAGGCGUAGCGAUAGGGCAUGACUGGCCCAACUCCCUAACACUCUGUCAAUAGGUCAUAGGGCCUCUGUCCUGAGCCUGGGGGACUGCUCUGACCGAAGAACGGAAGGAACCAUGGGGACAGUUCUGUGGAGGGUGAGGCCCCUGGGGACAGUAAAUGGCUGAGGUGCUGGCAGUGCCCGGCAGGGUCUGGCAGGGGGCCUGGCCCUCCAUAGUGAUGAGAAAGGAGAUGGCAUGGUUGGGCUGCAUGUAGAGCUGGGUUAGGGCUGUGAGUGGAGAGGAGGGGCUCCUUCCUCUAUUAGCAAAACGUCAUUUUGUGGGCAUCCUGGCAGGGCCCUCUCAUCCACCCACCCACUAGGAUGAGAUUGUGAGGGGCAAGGAUUCAGCCUCUGACCCCGCCUGCAGCUGCUCACACGGAGAGAGGGAUUCCAUCCUAUUUUUUUCUUCUGGGUGGCAGUUGCUGAAUGUCUCAUGGGCAAGUUACUUGCCUCCCUGCGGCUAGGAUUCCCAUCAUGGAUCAUUCAUGGGGGUUGGAGGG